UAAAAGCUUUUCCAAAACACGGGAAAAGAACUCUUCAUUUUAGGAAAAUGUCUUACCGUUUAUCAUUUGGUAAGACAUUUUCCAAAGUUUUUCUCUUCAGCAGUAAAUGUAACCCAAAGCCUCUUCCCCUUCCCCUUUCCUUCCCACCCUGAUUUAGUGCUUGCCGCCAGCCAGCAAUGGUUCCCAACACAAACCGCCGGCAUUCAUCUUUGAUUUUCCUCCUUUCCGCCUUUCGUUGUCGAAAUCUACACUGCACCAAUCGACGAUGGCGUUCAUCUUCCUCUCUCGAAGGGAAAGAUAACUUCUGCCUCAUGCAUGUCAGCCUAAUUCCUGAUCUGCUUACAUGUCGCUUAGCUCAGGUACACUGCCUCCUGUGUACUUCUUGUGGUAGGUGAUUUUUCAUUAGAAUCGUUUGGGGAAUUGCAUCAUUGCAUUUUAUCUUUCUGUAGUAUUAUUGUGUUGGCUCAUUGUAGCACUUUUAGGCAUUU